rnacentral:RNase_P_RNA from 1 species
UCAGCCGGUCGGGCAGCCGCGCUUGUUCAAUACCGAAAGGUGGCAAGUGAGGAAAGUCCGGGCUCCAUGGAAACACGAUGCCGGGUAACGCCCGGCGAGGGUGACCUCAGGGAAAGUGCAACAGAGAGCAGACCGCCUGCCAUCGCCCGUAAGGGUAUCGGGCAGGUAAGGGUGAAAGGGUGGGGUAAGAGCCCACCGCGCUGCCGGUAACGGGAGUGGCACGGUAAACCCCAUCGGGAGCAAGACCGAAUAGGGACGGCGUAUCAGGCUUCGGUCUGGUAAUCAGUUUCCGGAUAGCCGUCCGGGUGGGUUGCAAGAGGCGGGUGGCGACAUCCGUCCCAGAUGAAUGGCUGCCGCGUCGGGCUGGAAACAGCCCGGCCAUACAGAACCCGGCUUACAGACCGGCUGACAAU